CUACAUAAUUAAUUUCCCAGUGUAGGAUGAAUUUAAAUUUUAAUGACUUUAUUGAGAAUUUUGCUGUUAAUUUUACAAUGAGAAACUAUAAUCACUGUUACACAACUGGAAAUAUUUAAAACAAGAACAGCAAUCCCCUAUUUUUUUGAUUUUUUCUGUUCCAAAUUCAGUUCCUGAGAUGGAUGUUCAGCCUCAGCUUCAUUUUCAUCUUCCCACACGUAACUUAGAUGGGUUGUUUCACAGUGAGUUCUGAAUUUGGGAAUUCAGCAUACUGGUUCUCCCCUCUCAAGGUUUCCUGCAAAUCCAACCACAAAACUCUUUCUGAUUCACCUCUCUCUGUUUUGAUAUAUGCAUUAAUUAUGUUUUGAGAAGUCUCAUUCUGUUAUUA
rnacentral:lncRNA from 1 species